UACGUAGGGUGCAAGCGUUGUCCGGAAUUAUUGGGCGUAAAGAGCUCGUAGGCGGUUUGUCGCGUCUGCUGUGAAAUCCCGAGGCUCAACCUCGGGCCUGCAGUGGGUACGGGCAGACUAGAGUGCGGUAGGGGAGAUUGGAAUUCCUGGUGGAGCGGUAAAAUGCGCAGAUAUCAGGAGGAACACCCGUAGCGAAGGCGGCACUCUGGGCCGAUACUGACACUGAGGAGCGAAAGCGUGGGGAGCGAACAGG
rnacentral:rRNA from 1 species